UAUAUAUACACACACACAUAUAUAUACUGGGAAAGGGGGAGUGGUUUGAAACUUGACUCCACUUGCAAUUCCAGGGACUGCUAGUGUGCACCCUGGGAGGCAGCUGGUGUUGCCUCCAGUACUAGGGUACAUGAGAGACCUAGAUGGAGUUCCUGGUUCCCUGCCUGGCCCACCCCUGUCAGCUGUCUGGCUAUUUCUCUCUGUGUGUCUGUCUCUUUGUCUUUCAAAUAAAAUGACGACAAAAAACAAUCCCUAACAAAACAAAACAAAUAAACAAAAAACAGCAGAUGCUGAAGCUACAAUGGCAUUGAAAUAAAUGCCUUACAAAGUAUAACUGUUAUGGUUUCCUGAGAUGUGACCUUUUCACACAAUGAAAUGUUUCAUUGCUAGAGAGGCUUUUGGCAUUUUAAGAUAGAAGAAGUUGUCCGUUUUCUCCAUGUUGAGUUGUAAUGGACUUGGCUGAGGCUCGCAGACUGGACGGUGACUCCCAACACCUAUGUCACCAUCACUUUGUUCUCAGGGUCCUGUUCUGCUGACAGAGAGCCUGCUGCACUUUUCCAGACCCAGCCCUUAUUAGGACCUGCUGGUGGAGUCCUAGCACUGAACAGUACUUUGUGUUAAGAAUUAUCAGCUCUUACUUUCCCCAUUUCCUUUUCCUUAUAUUGACCAUAAUUUCCAUUUGAAAUAGUAAAGACAAAAUUUAAAUCUAGGAUGAAUUUCUCUUCAGGCCUACAAUUAGAUUUGAAAGGAUGUUGCAAUAUAGAUUAAGGCUAUUUUUGCUUCGGUUUAUCUCUGACCCAUGAACUUGACCUCUCAGGGUUGCUCAUUCAUCAGUGCAUCAUCCUGGCCUGCGCACACUUACCCCAACCUUAGAGGGCAUUUGACUGUGGCCUCAAACAUUCCAUGUCACUUUCCUAUAGCAAGUAAAGCCAUCAGAUGCAACACCAGCAUCCUAUAGGGGCUCUGGUUUAAGUCCUGAUUGCUCCACUUCUGAUCCAGCAUCCUGCUUUUGGCCUGGGAAAACAGCAGAGGAUGGUCCAAGUGCUUGGGCCCCAGCCCCCUGUGUGAGAGACUCUGAUGAAUCUCCCAGCUCUAGGAUUUGGCUUGACCAACCUCUGUUCAUUGCAACCAUUUGGAGAGUGACCCAGCGGAUGGAAAGACUCUCUCUAUCUGUAUCUCCUCUCUCUGUAAUUCUUUCAAAUAGAUAAUUUUUUGAAAAUUUAUUUAUUUAUUUGAAAUUCAGAGUUACACACAGAGAGAAGGAGAGCCAGAGAAAGAGAGAAAGAGAUCUUCUAUCCAUUGGUUUACUCCCCAGUUGGCCACAAUGGACAGAGCUGCUCCAAACCAAAGGCAGGAACCAGGAACUUCCUCCGGAUCUCCCACAUGGAUGCAGGGGCCCAAGGACUUGGGCCAUCUUCUACUGCUUUCCCAUGCCAUGGCAGAGAGCUGGAUGGGAAGUGGAGCAGCUGGGACUUGAACCGGCCCUCAUAUGGGAUGCUGGCACUGUAGGUGGUGGCCUUACCUGCUAUGCCACAGCGCUGGGCCCCAAAUAGAUAAAUCUUAAAAACAAGGAGAUCCUCAUCAUGGACAGGUUCUUUCUUGUCUGACUCCUCCCUGUGACUCUAGUCCUAUUGCAUAAUCUCAUUCCUACUGUAUUUACAAGUUUAAUUCCUAUACUAGAGAGAAAAUGCUCCAACAUCACAGCCUUUUUUGCCUAUCAGUUUUGUGUCUUUAACACCACACACAGCUCUGGACAUGGCAGGCCUUCAAUGUUGAUAAAAUGCAUGAAGUAUAAGGAGAGAGAUCAAUUUGUUGCUAAGUGAUUCUUUUUUUUAUUAUUUUUAUUUUUUAAUUUUUUUAUUUUUUCAUUUUUUGACAGGCAGAGUGGACAGUGAGAGAGAGAGAGACAGAGAGAAAGGUCUUCCUUUGCCGUUGGUUCACCCUCCAAUGGCCGCCGUGGCCAGCGCGCUGCGGCAGGCGCACUGCGCUGAUCCGAAGGCAGGAGCCAGGUACUUAUCCUGGUCUCCCAUGGGGUGCAGGGCCCAAGCACUUGAGCCAUCCUCCACUGCACUCCCUGGCCACAACAGAGAGCUGGCCUGGAAGAGGGGCAACCGGGACAGAAUUCGGCGCCCCGACCUGGACUAGAACCCGGUGUGCCAGCGCCACAAGGUGGAGGAUUAGCCUAAUGAGCCGCGGUGCUGGCCGUUAAGUGAUUCUUAGUGGUUUUACAAGUGUUAACCUAAACUUUGCUUUCCUUCUAUGCUGUUUCAUGACAAAAACAGGAUGAUCUUUUCUGAACUGGAUCCAUUUCUUUUGAAUGGACACAUAUAACUCAUCCAAACUGGUGACUGUGGGAUAAAGUGGGAAGGAUCUUGGCUGGGAGUCUGGAGUUCUGGGAGUACUCUCGUGAUUUUAAGCCGGCCAUGUAAUCUCUCAUACUUGUUUUCUCAUGUCUUGUUCUCAGGUCUUUUCACCUGUAGAAUUCUGUGGACGGAGGAUGACCUUUAUCUGAUUUUCUCACAUUAGGUCCAUUCUAUUUGGCUCUAUUCUUUCCCCUCAUUGCCCUUCUAUUGUACUUUUCCCACUUUCACAUCUCAAACGUAAAAGCAUUCAUUAUUUGGGGAUGCCCUCCACUUCCCUGCCAAUUAAGUAACUUUAAUGUAUGUCAUUUCUGCACAGCAACAGACUAAGUACCACAGUGCAUCCCAGCUUCCUCAUAUACAGCUUUUGCUAUGGAUUCUGAUGGAAACUAUGCUUGAAAGAUUGACUCAAGGGUGAGGGCUGUAUCACCUGCAAUCAUAAUGUGUAUCAGCUCAUUUGUCUUACAUAACAGCUUAUGAAGUUACUUUACAAGAUCAAGUUCAAGCAUCUACACUGAUGAGGACUAGGGUUCUAGUGUACCAAAUGUAGGGCAAAGGUGUGUCUCUGGGGUGUAUCAUUUGCAAGAACCCAAUUGCUAACUUGAAAAUAGAAGAGAAUGCUUCUAUCAAGUUAAAAUAAUUGCAUAAGAUCUGAUCUGAUCUGAAUGGCCUUGUCUUUGAUAUAAAAAGCAGACUCUCUGGCUGGCCCUGGAGUGAGAACAGGAGCACAGUCAGUGCUGACAACGACUGAUGUGGCUGGUGUCUUGAGACUGCAUGGCUGCCUGUGCUGUUCAGUUCAGCACAGCACUUUCUACAGGACUUUGCACCCCAUUCACUGCCCUGGUGACAGAUCUGUGUCCGUCAGCAGGCAGGAAGGCUGCAGCCACAUUGUGAUUCAAUGCUGAACUCUCCUGGUUUUUGUAAAUGAACUGGCUGCUUUGGGUCUGGUGAUUACUUUACAGUCUGAUCCACAGUGAGGUUAGAAACAAAAAAGCAGUCACAUAUGUCCCUUCCAUUUCAAUGUAUUUCCAACGAUACUUGAGGGACAUGCUCCUUUUUCUCAUUUUUUAUUUAGUUUUGAAUUCAUUUUUAUUUUAAUCAUUCAUAUUUAUGGAGUAUGAUGUGACAAUUUAAGUUUACAGGACAUUGUGUAGAUUUCAGGUUAUUUAGCAUGUCCAUCUCCUUAAACAUUUCUUUCAAGAUUUUUGAUCAAUACACUAAUUUUGCAAAAUUAUGGACUACAGCUUGACAUUUCAGUAAAUGUAUACAUUGUGUAUUGUUCAACAUUCACCUCUCCUUAUCCCUUGAUGUUUGGAGACUCCCUGUCCCUCUCUUCCAUUUUCUAAUAUAUAAUAGAUAAAAGUGAACCUCAGUCAACUCCCCAGGGCUAUAGAGCCCUGGAUUGCUUCUGUCUGUUUUUGGGACCUAUUAUCCAACAUCUCUCUGUCCCUCCCCUCCCAACCUCUCCAUCCUCUGCUGAUCACGAUUCUAUAUUAAUGGAAGUCGAUAUUUCUUAGCCACCACAUGAAGAAUAGAACCCACAGAAUUUGUUUCCCUGACUUAUUUUGCUCAAUAUGAUGUCUUCCAGUUCCAAUUCCACCCAUGUGCUGUGUAGGAGAAGAUAUCAUUCUUCUAUAUGGCUGGAUGACAUUCUAUCAUGUACAUGUACCUCCUUUUCCUUUUCUUAGUCACUCAUCUGUGAAUGAGCAUCUAGGCUGAUUUCAUGUCUUAGUUCCUGUGACUACCAUAUCGAUACAUAAGCCUGUGCUACAAUCUCAUUGCUAAGACUAAGCCUUCCUUCUCAUUUGAUAGACAGGAAAAUUGAAAGCUGGUGAGAUUAACUGACUCCCUCUAAGUCCUAUAUCAGACUAGAUAAGGAGUUAGAUGCUUGAUUUCCAUUCCUAAUUCUUAGCCCAGGACUUUCUCUACCCUUCUGUGUUCAUUUAUCUCCUAUGUUUAAUUCAUGUAUGUGUAAAGCAUAACUAUAAGCAAAUAUAAUUUUUCAGCACAUGUGAGUGAAUGAUACCUGGCCAGAGAGAGAGAGCACCUCCUGGAGGAGAUGGCUUUCAGGCUAGGAAGGAUUCAUGCCCCCCACUAUAUGUUAUUUUUUAAAAAGAUUUAUUUAUUUAUUUGAAAAGCAGAGUUGCAGAGAGGCAGAAGCAGAGAGAGAGAGGAAGAGAGGGAGAGAGAGAGAGGUCUUCCAUCUUCUGGUUCACUCCCCAGAUGGCAGCAAUGGCUGGAGCUGCGCCGAUCCAAAGCCAGGAGCCAGGAGCUUCUUCUGUGUCUUCCACACAGGUUGGGGUGCCCAAGGACUUGGGCCAAUUUCUACUGCUUUCACAGACCAUAGAAGAGAGCUAGACGGAAGAGAAGCAGCCAGGACUUGAACCAGGCAGAUAGGAUACCGGCACUGCAGGCAGAGGCCUUACUGCUAUGCCACAGUGCCCCCACUAUACGUUAGAAUUCCCUGCAAAUAAAAGUGUCUGGUUGUCAGGUGACCCCUGUUGUCAGGUUAGGUAUCAGAAUCACCUGAGGCUUUGGUAUUUUUAUUUAUGCAUUGAGGAAAUUGACUUAAGCAUUCAAUUUAUCUCAGAUAAGAGAAAACCAGUUUCAUAGCAGUGAUUUGAAUGAGAUAUGAUGAAAUUAGAAAAGAAAGGAAGCAUCACUUUCGGGUGUCUGGAAUGUAGAGACAAUGAUAUUUCGUAAGAUAAUUAAUAGCAACCAUUUUGAGAUCUGGAGCAGAAGUUAACUUUACUGGCUCAGUGAGUGUCAUGAACUAUUUGCAGUCUGUAUUUUAGAUGCUAACUGCACAGGAAUAUUAGGAGCUCACAGGAAUUACCCUAUGGUUUUUUUCUCUGUCUAUAUGCUGAAAAUUUUUUUACUCUGUUAACGGUACACAAUCUUUUCACAGUUAUUUGCCCCAUGAUCUCACUCAUCUAUAUUGAUGAUGGGUUGCUUUGUUGAAUGUAAUUAUACCUUGAAACAUGGCAAGAUUAUACACCAAUGCAGAGUGAGUGUGUGUGUUAUAAUUAUUUGAUGAAUGCACCUGCUUUCAUCACCUGCUAUCUAGGGGGAAAAUUCAAUUUUGUAACCUGUUUCAGUAGCAUCCAGUUACUAUAGGCGGACUAUUCUUUCUUAUUUAUACCUUAUUGUUUAUUUUCCUUGUUGUUCUUCAGUGGUUUGCUUUGAUGUUUUAUUCAUAUCUUUAAUUUGGGAUUCUUAACUUUGCUUAACACCUAAAGCAGUUUUGAGAAUGUGACUUUAAAAACAAAAACAAAAACCCAAGAAGUUUGUAGAAUGGACCCUGAGUGGUAAAUAAUCCAUUUUCUUGUAUAGGUGUUAUUUGAUUAGGCCAAACUGAUGUCACUCAAUGAAAAACAGAAAAGCAUUCUCAAGUCCUAGCAGUGAAGACACUGAUUGCAAUGCCUUUGCCUUGUAGCAGAGAGCUUUGGAUCUGGUUCCUCCCUUCAGCUCCAGAUUCCAUCAUCCUGGUAACGCAGAGCAUGGGAGGUGGCGGUGAGGGCUCAAGCAGCUGGGUUCCUGCCACUCCUGUGGAGACCAUAUACUGUUCCCAGCCUCCAGCUUUGGCUGAGAUCCAACUCCAGCUGUUGGCAUUUGGGAAGUGAACAAGAAGACAGGGGACAUUCAUUCUCCCUCUCCCCACCCCCCUUUCUUUUUCUUCAGUCUCCAUUUCUCAAUCUCUGUCUUUAUCUCUGUAUCUAUUUCUCUGCCUCUCAAAUAGCUUUGAAAAGCACUCUGAGUUUGUUGGGGGCUUAGCAAAAGUAGAUUUUAUGUAAGGAACAGAUCAUGAUUCGCAAUGCUGGAGUUCAAAUUCUGGCUCAGUUAACAAACUGCAUUAAAUAUCUCUGUUUCCAUUUCCUUAUCCAGAACACUGAGGGGAUAAUAAUAGUAACCUUAACCUCCAAGCGAUGGAUGAAAUGAUACGACAUGCAAAGUUUUACAAAUAGCACAAGCCUUCAGCUGUUUGUUUGACAUGUAUUUCACAAUAUCUGGAAACGUGUUUCCAAAUGGCAAAGUCCAGUGGACAUUUGUCAGCAACUUAAAAGCCCUAAAUAAAGAAACAGGCUCACUUGCUCUCAAUCACUCUAUCCUCCACAAGGCAAAUACACAGAAAGGCCUCUUUACAGAAAGAAAAAGCAAGCAACAAAACCACCGCCUCCACAAAGAUAUGUGAUACUUCCCUCUGAAAUCUAUUGAAUCUACCAAACCACUAAUGGGACAUCUUAGGGAAAUGGCAAAACCAAUUCUACAGCUAUGCCAAAUGAACCAAUUUACGGCUCGGCAUGGAUAACGCUCUGAAGUUAUAAAAGAUUCCCCAGAAGGAAAUUACAAGUCUGAAGUCAACAGCAAACCCAGGAAGUAAAGGACAGCAUUUACCCAAGAGCAAAUCUGAGAACUAGAAGCAGAAUUUGCCCAUCACAACUAUGUGACUAGACUGAGGAGAUACAAGAUAGCAGUGAAUCUGGAUCUCACCGAAAGACAGAAUCUCCUAAGUCCAGGCUUCCAAAUAAACACUCCCAGAGUGCUGGCUCUGGCAUCUCCACAUGCGGUGUCCUUGGGAACCUUGGAAGUUGAGAAGACAUUGCAAGUUCAAGCACUGGCCCUUGAAUGCUUGCAUGGGCCGUGACCCAUGUUACUUCAAUUUAGUGUUUCAGGUUCAGAAAUUGUCAAAUGGUGCAGCGUAGAGGAAAUUAUGGGACACAAGGGCACAUAGACCAUUCAUGAAUAUUUUUGUCCCAUUACUCCAAAUAUUUUUGAAAUUGUGCUGGUCUUGGUAAAUGCAAAAUUCUGGUACUAACUCAGAGAACAUUUUGGAAUUAUUAAAAAUGUUCACAUCUCAAAAGGUAAGGCCUAAAGAGUACUUUUACAUUAAUUUUGUAUUAAUCACUUCUUAGAUCCUCUUCUUGAAUUUUAUUUGGAUGACAGAAAGGGUCUCCUCUUAUAGUGCUCCCAGCACACUCGUUAUAAGGGCUGUGACUUGCCCUGGGAGAAUCUCAUUGACUGACAGUUAGCAGUUGUUAAGCUUUAGAAAAACAUUCCUGAAAGGCAAAUGCAAACAUCUUUAUGGACAGUGCAGUUAUGAUUGGCACUGUGAGGGCUGGAGUCUCAUUUCCUCUUUCACUGUGCACACCUCCUCUGGGGUCCCACUGGAACCAAGGAAAUAUCAACAGGGUGUGGACACACGAAUGCAUAUCUUAGGCGAGCAAGCUGCUUCAUCCAAUUUCUUAAAUCAUCUUUUUCCUUCUGUUAAUUUUACAUCUCAGCCCUGGUAGGUUAUUUCUGGGUGGGGAAAAUACAUACAGGAACACUUUGAUGUAGUUUUAUACAUUGCCAGUUUGUGUAUUAUUAAAUAUUAUGACUAGUAGCUAACUUAUGGAGCACAACAUUUCCUUCCAUUGAACUUCACAAAGUUCCCUCUAUAAGUGUACAGCUUCUGGCAUGCAGGAAACCUGUUCCAAAAUCUAUACCAUUAGACAAUAGUUUAUGUUUUCAUUUCUAAAAAAAAUGUUUACUUAAAAAUUUACAUACUUAUUUGAGAGGCAGAGAGAAAGAGAGGGGUGUAUUUGUUUUAUUAUUUUUUAAUUUCUAAAAAUUUAUUAUUUAUUUACUUAUUUGAGAGACAGAGAGUGAGAGAGAGAGGGGAUACAACUAUUGCUUGCUCACACUCCAAAUGUACACGAUGAUCCUUGGCUGUGGGCUGAAGCUGGGAGCCAAGAAUCCAAUCCAGGUCUCCCUGUGAGUAAUAGGAACUCCUUUACUGAGGCCACCACAGUGGCAUCCCAGGAUCUGUGUUAGCAGGAAGCUGGAGCCAGGAGCAGAGCUGAACCCAACCUGGAAUGCAAGUGUCUUAACCAACAUCAUAACUGCUAGACUAAAGCCUAUCCUGUGUUUUGUUCUUGUUUAAUUAUUUCUUUAACUGGGGACAGAACAAUAGGCAGGGGGAACUACAAAUUUCUGUCAUUAUAGAGGGGUAGUGAACUCCAGGAAAGGUAAUUAUGUUUUAUAUAAUACAUGAAGGAAGUUGGAAAUUGAAGUUUGCUUCCGGUGUUCAUAAUGAUGACUGCAAUACUGAGCCUUCGGUGAAGGACAAAGUAGAAACUCUGUGUUUACUACUCUGAGGAUAAUCUAGGGUUUUCCCCAACUAUCUAGUCAUUGAACAGAGGUUUCACUUUUGUCUGAGCAUAAUUCCUUUUGAAAAGUAAUUCUAUAAGCCUAGCUUGAGAGGUUUUGAAGUUGUUUGGAUAUUUUUCUUUUUUUUUUUUUCUAAACAACUUGACAUGCCUGAAAAAUAAUGAUAUGUAAAAAUCAUAUAUCUACAUAUGUACACAUACGUGCACACACAAUUUUAUUCACAUUUUUGAAGUCUCUUUUCAAUGUCAUGUCACUAAGCCAAUGCUGUGUAACAAACCACUCUAAACACUGCUGGAUUGUAAUGGAUCACUCACAGUCUUGUGCAUCAGAUUUGGACUGGAAUUACUCGACCAGUUUUAUUGCCAGCAGUACCUGGCUUCCUCAUGAAUCUGCUCUUGGCUGGUGGGUUGACUAUGAGCUGGUUGGGCCCCUGCUAAAACAAUGCAUUUCUGUUGCAUGUGGUUCCAUUUUCUAAAAGGAUAGGCUGGAAUCCCUAUCCUCAAGUGGUUGUAGAAGCAUUUCCAGGAGCUCUGAGAGGGAAAGCUGCAACAUGCAAGGGUUUCUCAAGUCUUUGUUUGGAUCAUAUUUACUAAUUUAGUUUUAUUGUCCAGAGAAAGUCACAUGACCAAACUCAGUGUGGGUAGGAGGAGGAGAGUAUGUCAUUGCCAGUCAUUCCUAGAAUAAUCUAAGCACAGCCUUGGUGGAAAAAAAUAAAAAACAGCAAAACACUUGAGAAAUAAUUAUGAACAGUUGAUAUUAUGCAGAUUAUAUUUUUUCACAAAUGUUUAGGCAGAGCUUUACAAGAUAAUAUGAAAAGGAGAUGGAUGUAUGUGGAAUAUAAAUUCUUAAUUAAAAGUAAGGCUUUAGGGCUACUCAAAAAGAAUUGAAUUGUUAUGCAAAAAUCUGAUUAGAAUUCUGAGAUUUGCUAUUCAGAAUUGUGUAUUGUUAGGUUGAGAUUGGUCUUUUUUAUUUUCUUUUUUAAAAAAAAUAUUUAUUUAUUUUUUACUUGAGAGUCAGAGUUACACAUAGGAGAGGCAGAGAAAGAGAGAUAAAGAGAGAGAGAGAGACAGAGAGAGAGAGAGAGAGAGAGAGAGAGAGAGAGGUCUUCCAUCUACUGGUUCACUCUCUAAUUGGCCAGAAUGGCCGGAGCUGCACCAAUUCGAAGCCAGGAGCCAGGAGCUUUCUCUGGGUCUCCCAGGCGGGUGCAGGGGCCCAAGGACUUGGGCCAUCUUCUACUGCUAUCCCAGGCCAUAGCAGAGAGCUGGAUCAGAAAUGGAGCAGCCGGGACUAGAACCGGCGCCCAUAUGGGAUGCCGGUGCCUCAGGCCAGGGCAUUAACCCACUGUGCCACAGCGCCGGCCCUCAGUCUUUUUUCUUUUAAAAUGUUAUUCUCUCCCUAGAUGGAAAAUAGUGAGGUAGAUAGAUGAUAGACACAUAGCUAUAGAGAUGUAGAAAUAAAUCUUUCUGUGAACACACAUAGACCUACAUAUCUGUAUAUAUGUGUUCAUAUAUAUGUGUACAUAUACAUAUAAAAUGAGUUUUUUAAAAAGCAUUGAAAUUGGUUGUACUUAUUGCUAUCAUGAGCAUUCAUCAAUUUAGUACAAUGAAAGGAAUUUUCCAUAUUUUGCUCCUGAUUUUCUUCAAUAAGCAAUUAAAAUGUUAAUUUGCAUUCAAUCAACAAGUCAGCAGUUACAUUCUGAAGGCUGUUGCAGAUCACAGCCAAACAUCAUGGCUCACAUAUGAUGCUACAGAAGGAACUUUGGCUGUGAGAGGACACUUCCUGCACUCCUAUUUCACACUAGCCUUGCAUGCAUUUUUUUUCAUGUCAUGAAGAAGAAUUUCUAAACUGAGAAAAUAUAGAAAGUUUGAAAAGCCAGUGAUAGUUUUGUGUUGACAGCUUCAAUUUCAACAAGAGUUGCUGUUGUCUAAAUCAAUACACAGAGCUCACUCAUAUUUGCAUAAUCCUAUGUCAUCUAUAAUGAACCCAGGCUGAAGAGAACUAUUUCUGGAGACUGUCUAUGGGCUAAUCCUCUGCCUGCGGUGCAGUCACCCCGGGUUCUAGUCCCGGUUGGGGCGCCGGAUUCUGUCCCGAUUGCUCCUCUUCCAGUCCAGCUCUCUGCUGUGGCCCGGCAGCGCAGUGGAGGAUGGCCCAAGUCUUUGGGUCCUGCACCAGCAUGGGAGACCAGGAGUAAGCACCUGGCUCCUGGCUUUGGAUCCUGCAGCGCACUGGUCGCAACACACUGUCCAUAGCAGCCACUUGGGGGGUGAACCAAUGGAAACAGGAAGACCUUUCUCUCUCUCUCUUUCUCUCUCUCUGUCACUUUGCCUGUCCAAAAAAAAAAAAAAGACUGUACUAUUUUUCAUGUCCAUAUUCCCUUAAUUUAUGAAGAACUCAGAGAUGCACUCAAUAUAAAGUAAUUGUUAUACUUUAAAUCCUCUAAUCACUCCCAAUUUAUAUGUAAGAUAUAUACUUUUCAAUUUUUUCUUUCUUCCAGUUAUUGAAAUUACUAACUAUUUUGGGAAAAGAAAUCAAUGUUUACUCAUACAAUAAUAAUGAUAACCUUUGUAAAUUCUUAUAAUAAUCUUGGAUAUAAGGGAGUAUUCUCUAAGUUAGUAAAUGAAAUGAUCAGGGAGAGCUCACAUAUAUGCUGAUAAAGAACUUAAACAACCAGAACCUAUCAGUAUUAAUUCAGUUAGAUUCAACCAUAAUAAGUUGAUAAUGUCCUAUAGUUCUUUACUCAUAAAUUUGAUGAAGAUUCACUGUUUUAACUGAAUACAUUUGAUAGAUAUGGCGGAGAUGGUGGGUAAAGCAGAAGUUGUUAAUUAUAAUAAUGUAUAUUGCUAGUGAUGUUUCUAAUUGUUAUUAAACAUUAUUUAGAGAUUAGACAAGAUGAUGAGAGGAAACAAAAGCUGUCAUUCUAGUUGGUCUUGUUAGUUUGAAAAAGACAGGAAUAAACUAAUUACUUAGAAUGCAAUGAUUUCACAUCUUUAGAUAUUACCAUUUAGGAAUUUGAUAACAAAGUAAAGGAAAAAAACAAAUAACUUAGUUUUGAUAUUUUCACUCAGUUUGCUAAAGUCAUACAUGGUGUACUAAGUAAAUUAUAUUUCACUUCAAAUAACUAAAAUCAGUAUGUAUUUUUUCACCUUGUAUGAAUAUGUGGUUAUUUGAAGUAGUGCAUUUCCAUUGUAAUUAAAUGUUAAUGAGAUAAAUAAUUUUCAUUGAAUUUCAUCGGGUAAGAAAAAACUAUUACCAUUUAUUAUGACUGUGGCAUUUCAAAAAGAUCAAGUUAAAAGGAAUGAAACUUCAAACAAUUUCGCUCAUCACAUGAAUUAUUACUUCGGGUUCAUUUCUGGAAAGAAGAAUGAGACUUCAUAAGAUUGGUUUUAAUAAUAUCAAGAGAUUAACAUUUCUUUUUUUAACUUUUAUUUAAUGAAUAUAAAUUUCCAAAGUACAGUUU